rnacentral:tRNA from 1 species
GAAGGUAUAGCUCAAAUGGUAGAGUGCAUGCCUAGUACGCACAAGGUACUGAGUUCAAUCCCUAGUACCUCUU